rnacentral:lncRNA from 1 species
CUUGGAUUCCGGCAACUAAGCAGACCUCGAUUCCGCUUUACUCUCGUUUUCUUUUUGUCUGUUCCAUCUUCUUCUCGUCUCUCUGUUCUGGUUCAUCAAAUGAUUGAUUUUUCGUAUAAGCUUACUUUUUUACUGUUUGUUAUAAUUUUUCAACCUACAAAGUCUCUUCUCACAGUGCUUACUGUACAUUUUCCAGAUCGAACAGGCUUUGAUAGAAUCAAUGACGGUUCUCAAAAGGUACGUCCUGAGGCUGUUCAUGUCCAUCAAGUACAUAACAGCAAACGUAGUGGACAGAAACAACGGGAGAGUAGUGACAACAGCUUCA